rnacentral:rRNA from 1 species
GGACGAACGCUGGCGGCGUGCCUAACACAUGCAAGUCGAACGGAGUCAAGAAGCUUGCUUUUGACUUAGUGGCGGACGGGUGAGUAACGCGUGAGUAACCUGCCUCUGAGAGGGGAAUAACGUUCUGAAAAGAACGCUAAUACCGCAUAAUGUAUCGAAGCCGCAUGACUUUGAUACCAAAGAUUUUAUCGCUCGGAGAUGGACUCGCGUCCGAUUAGUUAGUUGGUGAGGUAACGGCUCACCAAGACCGCGAUCGGUAGCCGGACUGAGAGGUUGAUCGGCCACAUUGGGACUGAGACACGGCCCAGACUCCUACGGGAGGCAGCAGUGGGGGAUAUUGCGCAAUGGGGGCAACCCUGACGCCAGCAACGCCGCGUGAAGGAUGAAGGUUUUCGGAUUGUAAACUUCUUUUAUCAGGGACGAAGCUUGACGGUACCUGAUGAAUAAGCUCCGGCUAACUACGUGCCAGCAGCUGC